UGGGGAAUCGUCUAGUGGUAGGACAGCGGACUCUGGAUCCGCAAGGGAAGGUUCGAGUCCUUCUUCCCCAGCCA
rnacentral:tRNA from 2 species